rnacentral:rRNA from 1 species
UAUAGAGGUCCCAAGCGUUGUUCGGAUUCAUUGGGCGUAAAGGGUGCGUAGGUGGCGGGGUAAGUCGGAUGUGAAAUCUCGGGGCUCAACCUCGAAACUGCAUUCGAUACUGCCUUGCUAGAGUACUGGAGAGGAGAUCGGAAUUUACGGUGUAGCAGUGAAACGCGUAGAUAUCGUAAGGAAGACCAGUGGCGAAGGCGUAUCUCUGGACAGUUACUGACACUUAGGCACGAAGGCCAGUGGAGCAAACGGG